rnacentral:rRNA from 1 species
GAUGAACGCUGGCGGCGUGCCUAAUACAUGCAAGUCGAGCGAACAGACGAGGAGCUUGCUCCUCUGACGUUAGCGGCGGACGGGUGAGUAACACGUGGAUAACCUACCUAUAAGACUGGGAUAACUUCGGGAAAGCGGAGCUAAUACCGGAUAAUAUAUUGAACCGCAUGGUUCAAUAGUGAAAGACGGUUUUGCUGUCACUUAUAGAUGGAUCCGCGCCGCAUUAGCUAGUUGGUAAGGUAACGGCUUAUCAAGGCAACGAUGCGUAGCCGACCUGCUAGAGUGGUCGGCCACACGGGAAGGUAGACGCGGUCCUGACUCCUACGAGAGGCAGCAGUAGGGAAUCGUCCGCAGUGGUCGAGAGCCUGACGGAGCAACGGCGCGUGAGUGAUGAAAGUCUUCGGAUCGUAAUGCUCUGUUAUUAGGGAAGAACAAAUGUGUAAGUAACUGAACACGUCGUGACGGUACCUAGUCAGAAAGCCACGGCUAACUACGUG